CGACCGUCCACUCACUCCCCUCCGACCCCAGCGCUGGGUCAGCCAUUGGGCUGGGGUCACGCCAAUCAAGGUUGCCUGGCGAAUGAGCAGGGGGCAUCGGACCGGAAACCGGAUAUGAAUGGGAGGUCCAAUAGGGGGCGCCGCGUUGGAACGCCCUAAGAGGCUGUGCUGCUGGGGUGGUUGGAAGCAGCUGGUGGGCGGGCGUAUGGCGGCCAGGCCUGGGACGCCACGAGGCGGGCUGGCGCCGUGGGGUCACUCUUCCUAAAGUCCCAAGUCACCAAGGCUGGAAGGGAAGGUUGGGGGCUGUCAGGGGCCAACCCUAGGAGUCGCUGGUGGCGGUGGGCAAACCCACCCGACCUAGGGGACCGCCGCUGAGGCCAGGCGAGGAGGAAGAAAAUGUCUAGGGCCUGGAGGUAGAGAGCCAGGACCCUGAGGAGAGACUGGGCUCACUGCCCCGAUGCAGAGGUGCAGUCCCAGACGGAUAAGGAGUUGAGGCCCCAGGGAUCCUGUGCCCUGCCGAGCUAGAAGGGAUUGGCCACCAGAGUCUGAAAACCCCAAAUCCCUUACAUGAAGGGGUUCAAAGCUGAAACCACAGAACAGAGUGGGACCCGAGAAUACCUCAGAAGUGUGGCCAGAUGUUUGAGGAGCUGGCUGACAUGAAAGGCAGCUGGCGCGCCUGACCACAGGGACCCGCCCGAGGAGCCCGGUGUGGUGAGGACAGUGAGCCUGGAGAGGUCAGCGCCUGAAGCCGUUCGCCACACCCCUGAUGAAAACGGUCAACUAGGUGCGUGGGUGGCCAUUGCUCAAUCUGGGUACACUGUGAAGAGGUCUUCUGGACACCCCCAGGUUCGCUUGGAGCCCUGCCCUUCAUCUUCCUCUCUUCGGGUGAUUGAUGUUCCUGGGGGCUCGGACCGAGGCACAAAGUGCCCCAGUCCCUCACCACCAGAUGGCGCCGCUGCAGUGAUGAUGUCGCCGGGGCUCCCCAUGCCCCCUUUCUCAGGAGAGUCCCUGUGGGGGGCUUCCUCUGGUCCCCUUGACCUGGGACGCUUCUUGGACCUGCUCUGGAUCUGGCCAUGUGGUCGGGUAAGCGAUGGUGCCUGCAUGGGUCUCCUUGUCUGCAGUGACGGUUGGGACAGAGAUGACGGGUUUCCAUCAGCGCAAUCAUUCGAUGGUGGAUGAGGCCACAAAUUCAACUGCCUCGCUUCUCCUUGUGUUCCCUAGCUUCUGUCCCUGCUCUCCAAGAUCAGCAGGCCCGCCGUAGUCCUGUCUGCUUCCUCUGGCCAACCAGGAAGACUUCAGAGCAGGUUUCUGUCAACUUGUCUCCGUGUGCUCUGCUCUUGGCUGGCCGAGCUCUGAAGUCAGCUGUGGGCGGGUGAUCUGUCUAAGACGCACAAGAAGGCCUCGGAGACUGUGACUCCCGGCUGGUUUCAUUAACAGCCCAUUCUCUCUCAUCAGGAAAGAGGCCACAUUUCCGAAACCACCACUCUCUCUCUGAAAUCAACAACAGACAACAGUCUAGAUUGCCUGUGAGCACGAGUGGCACGGAUGGCCGUUCUGGCCGUCGGGAGAGAGCUCAAGCACCCGAGCUGUCCGAACGCAGGCGGGGUGGCUGUGCUGUGUGCGCACGUGUGUCCAUGUCUGCCUUCAUGUAUCCUAUUAACCCUUCCCCUUCCCUUUCUCUGCCCCAAGUGGGUCUGCUCGCAGGUGUCCGUGGAGCUUCCAGCAGCAGUGUCCCUUUGAAGCGCUGACACCGCUGAGCCUGGUUGAUGCCACUUCCUUGGUUUGACUCUUAACGCUUCAGCCUCUUCUCGGUGGGACUUUACCCUUUGCUCCCUGGAGGAGAGGUUUGCUAAAUACACAGAUUUGUGUAAGCAAGGUUUAAGGAGGAAAAGACUGAUCUUCACCUUCUGCCAGAAGCUGUUGUUCUUAAAGGCUUCUAUGCCGUGUUCUUUGCAAAUGUCGCUUGGUAGUUGAGUCAUUUUUAGCUUUGAGUACAGGCCCAGCAAGGUGGCCCCUUACAAGCACCUCGUCAGAGCUGACUUCGGGUUCACCGCCGGGCUUUUGUACGAUGGCUUGAUUAAUUCACGGAGGUAACCCCACCACCCAAAGCCACCUGAAAUGAGAGGAUUUACUGUACCAGUUUACUUCCAAGCCAGAUCAGGUGAAAGCGGGAAACUCCAGACCAUCUGUUGUUAAAAAAAAAAUUAAUAACGGAACAUCCACCGAGCAAACACUUUGUACUGCUGCAUAAUAAAUGUGGGAUGCAGUGACCUCGGCUGAGGGGGCCGCGGGUGUGUCUCCCCACUCCCUGCUUGUCUGGGGCGCCGGGCUUUGAGGUUUGCAGCCUUCUGGCCCCCCAGGGGAGGGCUGGAGGCCGAGCCCUCAGCCGUGCUCCCGUUCCGGCUCGGGCUCCGGUUGCUUUCAUCAUUUUCUCACUCUCUUCUCGACGCCGCAGCCAAUGUUCCAGGGAGAACGUGCAGGCUCCUGUGGACAGUCCUCCUGCUCCCAGGGCAUCCGCCUGGAAUCUCCGAAGUUAGUCGUGCGGACCCGGCUCAGAGGCGCCAGCCCUGGAGGAGGACACGGGGGUGGGGGGUGGCGGCGGCUUUCCCCCACCAUGAAGGACCAGCCUCCUGCUUGGCUUAGGAGUGAGCUGACAGCUCCUUCUUGAUUUGCAGCCUUUGUUCAGAACGAGGCAGGGGUUCUCCGUCGUUGCAACACUCGAGUUAGGCAAUUGUUCCUAGACUCUUCUCCUGGGGCCCCGCACGGAACAGCACGGUGAGCACGCACCCGCCACUCAAAUCAAGGUAGCGACAGAACCUUCAGGGAGAAGCCUUCGGAAGAUGAACUGUUGAGGCCGGCUGUCAGCGCGUGAGGCCGUGACAGAGCUGUGAUGAAGUUCUUUUCCAUGGUGCUCAGAGCCUGCCGCCAAGGCCCUGGCAAACCCACGUUCAAAGGCCGUUUCUUCAAAGUAAACAGCGCUGCCUUUGAACUGGGAAGGGAAACGGGUCGGAAGGCAGGUCUCAGUCAGUGUGUGUGUUUGAACGGGCUCCUCCAGGAGAGGUGCAUGGUUUCUGGUGGCCUAAACCCUUGGGGUGCAAAGAGGGGCCAUCAGUGUCCUGUGACGUCUCCAUCCAUCUGGGGCCACCCUACGUCCCCAUGGGGGGCCAGGCUGGGAGGGGUGACAGGAGACCCUGGGCCACGUUAUGACAUCAGGGAGGGGGAGUGCGUGAGGCACAGCCUUGUGUGGGGGUGAUGAUGAAGGGCUGUUCCGGAGGGCCCCCCCCAAUCCUGUUGUGCUCGAUUCAGAGGGUUGGGUGGAGGCUUUCCUGAAGGGCUCUGAGGAGCGCUGCACCCCAGGCUGUGCCGUCAGGAGGCGGGACACAGGGAACCUGACAAGGGAAAGGCCACAUUGUCCGCCUGCCCCCCCACAGAGGCCCCCACUCGACCGGCGAGCACCCCACGUAGCCAGAGGCCACUGACCAUGCUGUUCUGCCCCAGGCCUCCAGCGGCUACCUGGUGUACCGCCCAUGCUCGGAGCUCGGCCUGGACACCUGCAUCGCCCCCACCAGCCCCAGAUGCUGUUUGGCCCGGAGCUACCCGAAGACCUGCCCCUGGGCCUGCUCUUCCUCUCCUGGGGGUCUUCCUCACUCACCCUGGCUUCCCACCUGCAGGGAGCCCCCUGCCACCCUGCUGUCACUGGCACCACAGCCCCUGUCAUCUCUGUCCCGGUCCUGGGAACGUUUGCUGCCACCUCUUCUAGUCCCUGAGCUCCCGGGAUGAGGGCCAGGGCUGCCCUGAGGGUUAUCAUGUUCUCCAGCUUGGUCUUCUCCCGUGGUGUGCAGUUGGUGCCUAAUAAGUGUGUGAGCACGAGGAGGGUGAAUGCCUUUCUCUUUGUUCGUUCUCCACGGAGCCCUGCCUGCUCGCCUCGCGCCCGUGGCCGGAGGUCAGCGCGGGGCCGUGGUUCCCUUGCCUCUGCUCCGUUUCCCUUGAGCUCCUGCUGGCUGCUCGUGGGGCUUCUCAGGAAGCGUGAUCCCACGCCUGCCCCCAGGCCGAGCCGGGUGCCUCCGUCCUUUCCACUGAUUACAGGUGGCAUUUAUCAUCACAUGGAACUUACUGUCCGAAUGCCUGGCUUCCCCAGCAGACUGAACCCCAGAGGGCUGGGCCUGUCUUUCUCACACGCUCAGCACAGAGCAGGCAGUGAGGUCACAACUGCUGGCUGGAUAGAUGGAUGGAUGGAGAGAGCAAAGGGAUUCAUACAGUUGGGACAUGAAAAGGCAAUUGAAGGAGUAUCCCAAGUUGAGAGUGGCCUCAUGACCGUUCAUGCGACUCUGGACCCGGGACAGGCACGGGAGUGAGAGGCGUUCCAGAGUUUGCUGAGAGCAGGGGAAGCUCCCUCCUUCCUGUCAAACGCGUUCUCCUGCGAGACCGGUGAACCCAUCCUGUCACAGCAGCGUCAUGCACAGCGGAUGCGGAACUGUCUGGGCCUUAGGACAGCCCCCCCCCCCCAGACCAUUCGCGAACCUCCACGGGGUCUGGCCUGGCUCGACAGGUGGGGGAAGGGGGACUGAGGGGCCUCGGGUGCCCGGCUCUGCAGGGGCUUUGUGCUAGGCCGGGUGGGGGCGGUCAUUCUGGUGAUGCCCUCGGGCCACUGGCCUCUCUGCCCCCUGCCUGCUCCAGAGUUCUCCCAGCCAGACUUGGGUCGCCCCGCCACAGAGGUACCAGGCAGUAAAGGGCCUGGCAAGUGGGACAAGGAGGCCAAGGGCAUGGAGAGGCCGAGAGAGAGAAUGAAGUACGGGGCCUUGGCUACCAGACAGCACGUGCCAUGGGGAAGGCUCCAAGUCAAUGGCUUCGGAGACUGUGUCAGGGCGUGGGAGAUAAUGGGCCUCCUGGUCCAAUUCUGUGGCCAGGCACCCCUAGCCCUCUCCCCUUCUGAGUGCUUUGCAUCCCCAGCACAGUUGUAAUGCUAACUGCCACCCACUUCUCUCGCCUGUAGCCUUUCCUUCUAUCUCGGGAAAACAACGUGUCUGUCCUUGCCAAGGCCAACCUUCCUUCUUGUGGCUUCUGCCUACUCUGGCCGCCUCUUUCCCACCACCGUUCAGCCAUGGGCACACAGGAGAGGCAGGAAUCCCUUCCAUGAGACGUUCCCUCCAGUGGGAGAGGACGGCUGUAAAGAACUUGGGACUCUGUAGUGUGCUGAGUUCUGUGCACUAGUGCGCCCACUCGGGGGGACCAAGAGGAUGAGUGGGUGUGGGGGGAGCAGGAAGACAGGCUGCAGACUUAAACAGGGACCCCCGUGCUCCCUCCCCUCUGUGUCCAGGCCCUGGGCUUCCCCACCAUCAGCACUGUUGCUUUUUGGGGCCGGACCGUUGUCUGUGGUGGGGGCCGUCCUGCGCACUGUGGGGUGCCUGGCAACGUCCCUGGCCUCCACCCACUGGAGGCCGGUAACCACCCUUCUGCCCACUUGUAACAACCAAAGAUGUCUCCAGACAUCGCCCAGCGUCCUCUGGGGGGAAACCCAUACCCCACUGGAGACUGCAGUGAGCUUACACAAAUUUUAUCUUGACCUCAUGGGAAGAAAUAAAAAAGGACAGAAAAAGAUUUCACACAUCACCUGACCUGGACUCGAUCCUACUGCCCCAGGGUAGCUGAGAUUAAAGAAAGCCUAUACCCUUCCGUGGUCAUGGUGAUAGAGGAGGUUUAAUCUGGAGGCUGAGGGACGUUGCAGAAAUAGCUCUGGAUCAGUGUCCAUCGUGGGCACAGUGCGCAGAUGGGUCUCUGCGCUCCACUCGGGCCCUGGGAGGCCCUGGAAUUAGUGUGACCCCAGCAGCAUCAGGCACGCCCCACCCUCAGACUUUGGUCUCCAAUGCCAUUAUCCAAGAGAAGGAACCAGGCUUCUUGUUAAAAGCUUGUUCCCGGGCCCGGGCAAGGACCACAGAUGAACCAGGAGCACGGCGUUGUGGCAGAAGGUAAGGACGUGCUCCAAAACCAAAAUGGGGGCCAUGGUAAGGGACACAAGAGCCACCAAGAGUGCUCCCGGGGCCCAGAGUGGGACAGUUUCACAAGCUAGCACUGGAUUAUGACCCCCGAGUCUAUACUGUUGGAAGUAACUGAACAAAUAGAGAAAUGUGUACAGGACAGACGUCUUGCAUGGAGAAUUCCAAAGAAUUUGUGACAGGAGUUUGUGUCCCCUUAGUGCCCGCGGUUCGUGGUCACACCGCUUCAGAGAGUGAAGAGGAGGCUCAGACCAGGAGCGGUGGGCAGCAAAGCAAAGUUUAUCGAGCAAGAGCGUCAAGCUCCCGGAGGGGGGGGCGGAGUGGGUUGUCCCCGGCGUUUCUAAGUUUAGGGGUUUUUAUGAGCUCUUUUGUGGAACUAUCUUCAACAAUCAGGAUGUGCUGAGUCGUGCCGAUCAGGACUUUGGUCACGUAUCUGUCUGCCUAUUAGGUUCGUGUCCACAUGCUGAUGGUUUUUUUGUCCCUCGCAUGGGGGGGCUUUGGUCUUAACUGCCCCUUGCCUGUGAUAUUGACAAAUGCUUCUGUGGUCCAUUGUCCUAUUUUAGGACAUUCUGCAGAAGUCAUUUCCACAAAGGCUGCAAAGCAAACUGUCAGUGUGGUCCUGUCUGAGCUAUAGGACAGGAUGUCCAUGGUGUUUGCUUAGCUGUCCUGACUCCAUAGUUCCUUGUUGGGGACCCUGGCCCUGACUACCUGACUGUCCAACCAACUCCUCACAGAUUCAUGUAAAAGCUGCUUACGAGGUGGGGCCAUAACUACCCAUCCCUCAGUCUGGGCACCGCUCAGGGACUAGCUUCCAUAGCGCCGCACGGAACCUGGGCAGAGGGGAACACCGCACACCAGCCGGGGCCGAGGUUCACAUCGCCAGUGACGGAGUCUGCUGAGGGCACGGAUCCAGACAGACUGUGAUGAGAAGACCAUCAAGUCUGUGAGCUCCCUCCCGAACCCAUCGCCCCGAUCCAAGUAUGAACCAAACAUCGGGGACCUGCUACCAAGGAUCUACCAGCACUCCUCAAAAUGGUCAAGGGCAUCAAAACCAAGAGAAAUCUGAGACACUCAGCCAAGAAGGGACGUGACAACUCAAUGUAACGUGGCCUGGGUGGGAUCCCGGAACAGAAAAAAGGCAUUUGGUGGAAACCAGUGACAACUUGAAUAACACAUGGCAUUCAGUCAAUAAUGUAUUUUAUUGGUUCAUUCAUUGUGGCAAAUUACCACAGCAAUGUUAACAGUGGAAACUGGGUGCUGGGCACAUGGAAACUGUACUAUCUUGGUAACUCUUCUGUAAAUCUAAAACUAUUUUAAAAUUAAAAGUUUACUUAAAAUAGAGGCAUAUGUGGCCCAGUCUCGUGAGGAACAGAAACCAAGGCACCAGGCCUUCCUGGAUGCCCAUCAGUGC